ACGCACGCUGGCGGCGUGCCUAAUACAUGCAAGUCGCACGCUUCUUUCCUCCCGAGUGCUUGCACUCAAUUGGAAAGAGGAGUGGCGGACGGGUGAGUAACACGUGGGUAACCUACCCAUCAGAGGGGGAUAACACUUGGAAACAGGUGCUAAUACCGCAUAACAGUUUAUGCCGCAUGGCAUAAGAGUGAAAGGCGCUUUCGGGUGUCGCUGAUGGAUGGACCCGCGGUGCAUUAGCUAGUUGGUGAGGUAACGGCUCACCAAGGCCACGAUGCAUAGCCGACCUGAGAGGGUGAUCGGCCACACUGGGACUGAGACACGGCCCAGACUCCUACGGGAGGCAGCAGUAGGGAAUCUUCGGCAAUGGACGAAAGUCUGACCGAGCAACGCCGCGUGAGUGAAGAAGGUGUUCGGAUCGUAAAACUCUGUUGUUAGAGAAGAACAAGGACGUUAGUAACUGAACGUCCCCUGACGGUAUCUAACCAGAAAGCCACGGCUAACUACGUG
rnacentral:rRNA from 1 species